GACGAACGCUGGCGGCGUGCUUAACACAUGCAAGUCGAACGGAAAGGCCCUGCUUUUGUGGGGUGCUCGAGUGGCGAACGGGUGAGUAACACGUGAGUAACCUGCCCUUGACUUUGGGAUAACUUCAGGAAACUGGGGCUAAUACCGGAUAGGAGCUCCUGCUGCAUGGUGGGGGUUGGAAAGUUUCGGCGGUUGGGGAUGGACUCGCGGCUUAUCAGCUUGUUGGUGGGGUAGUGGCUUACCAAGGCUUUGACGGGUAGCCGGCCUGAGAGGGUGACCGGCCACAUUGGGACUGAGAUACGGCCCAGACUCCUACGGGAGGCAGCAGUGGGGAAUAUUGCACAAUGGGCGGAAGCCUGAUGCAGCAACGCCGCGUGCGGGAUGACGGCCUUCGGGUUGUAAACCGCUUUCGCCUGUGACGAAGCGUGAGUGACGGUAAUGGGUAAAGAAGCACCGGCUAACUACGUGCCAGCAGCCGCGGUGAUACGUAGGGUGCGAGCGUUGUCCGGAUUUAUUGGGCGUAAAGGGCUCGUAGGUGGUUGAUCGCGUCGGAAGUGUAAUCUUGGGGCUUAACCCUGAGCGUGCUUUCGAUACGGGUUGACUUGAGGAAGGUAGGGGAGAAUGGAAUUCCUGGUGGAGCGGUGGAAUGCUCAGAUAUCAGGAGGAACACCAGUGGCGAAGGCGGUUCUCUGGGCCUUUCCUGACGCUGAGGAGCGAAAGCGUGGGGAGCGAACAGGCUUAGAUACCCUGUAGUCCACGCUGUAAACGGUGGGUACUAGGUGUGGGGUCCAUUCCACGGGUUCCGCGCCGUAGCUAACGCUUUAAGUACCCCGCCUGGGGAGUACGGCCGCAAGGCUAAAACUCAAAGGAAUUGACGGGGCCCCGCACAAGCGGCGGAGCAUGCGGAUUAAUUCGAUGCAACGCGUAGAACCUUACCUGGGUUUGACAUGGAUCGGGAGUGCUCAGAGAUGGGUGUGCCUCUUUUGGGGUCGGUUCACAGGUGGUGCAUGGCUGUCGUCAGCUCGUGUCGUGAGAUGUUGGGUUAAGUCCCGCAACGAGCGCAACCCUUGUUCACUGUUGCCAGCACGUUAUGGUGGGGACUCAGUGGAGACCGCCGGGGUCAACUCGGAGGAAGGUGGGGAUGACGUCAAGUCAUCAUGCCCCUUAUGUCCAGGGCUUCACGCAUGCUACAAUGGCUGGUACAGAGAGUGGCGAGCCUGUGAGGGUGAGCGAAUCUCGGAAAGCCGGUCUCAGUUCGGAUUGGGGUCUGCAACUCGACCUCAUGAAGUCGGAGUCGCUAGUAAUCGCAGAUCAGCAACGCUGCGGUGAAUACGUUCCCGGG
rnacentral:rRNA from 1 species